UCAAACUCUUAACAAGGAAAUAGUGUUUUGUUUCGCUAUACUUUUUUUACACGUUUAUUUAUUAAAAAACUCGACAAGUCAGUUAAUAACACAUUCUUAUUUACAAUGACGGCCUACCGUGGAACAACUUCCUUGUUCAGGGCAAGAACGACGGAUUUGUACCUCGUCAGUUCGGGGAUUCGAUCCAGAAACCUUUCGCUCUAACACUAGGGCUACCGCCCCUGUUUGAUGUAGUAAUAAUAUGGAUGGAUCUUCCUUUCUAAGAAGAUUGGUUGUUGAUGUAAAGGGCAAAGGCUGGUCGUAUUGGACCUGAGCGCUAGGACCAUGCCUCAGGACUACCUGACAUGAUGACUCCUUGCU